rnacentral:rRNA from 2 species
CGCGUGCUUACACUGCAAGUCGAACGGUGAACACGGAGCUUGCUCUGUGGGAUCAGUGGCGAACGGGUGAGUAACACGUGAGCAACCUGCCCCUGACUCUGGGAUAAGCGCUGGAAACGGCGUCUAAUACUGGAUAUGUGACGUGACCGCAUGGUCUGCGUCUGGAAAGAAUUUCGGUUGGGGAUGGGCUCGCGGCCUAUCAGCUUGUUGGUGAGGUAAUGGCUCACCAAGGCGUCGACGGGUAGCCGGCCUGAGAGGGUGACCGGCCACACUGGGACUGAGACACGGCCCAGACUCCUACGGGAGGCAGCAGUGGGGAAUAUUGCACAAUGGGCGCAAGCCUGAUGCAGCAACGCCGCGUGAGGGACGACGGCCUUCGGGUUGUAAACCUCUUUUAGCAGGGAAGAAGCGAAAGUGACGGUACCUGCAGAAAAAGCGCCGGCUAACUACGUGCCAGCA